GUUUGACUGGGGCGGUCUCCUCCUAAAGAGUAACGGAGGAGCACGAAGGUCAGCUAAUCACGGUCGGACAUCGUGAGGUUAGUGCAAUGGCAUAAGCUGGCUUGACUGCGAGAGUGGCGGCUCGAGCAGGUGCGAAAGCAGGUCAUAGUGAUCCGGUGGUUCUGAAUGGAAGGGCCAUCGCUCAACGGAUAAAAGGUACUCCGGGGAUAACAGGCUGAUACCGCCCAAGAGUU
rnacentral:rRNA from 1 species